AUUGAACGCUGGCGGCAGGCUUAACACAUGCAAGUCGAGCGGAGAUGAGGUGCUUGCACCUUAUCUUAGCGGCGGACGGGUGAGUAAUGCUUAGGAAUCUGCCUAUUAGUGGGGGACAACAUUCCGAAAGGAAUGCUAAUACCGCAUACGCCCUACGGGGGAAAGCAGGGGAUCUUCGGACCUUGCGCUAAUAGAUGAGCCUAAGUCGGAUUAGCUAGUGGGUGGGGUAAAGGCCUACCAAGGCGACGAUCUGUAGCGGGUCUGAGGGGAUGAUCCGCCACACUGGGACUGAGACACGGCCCAGACUCCUACGGGAGGCAGCAGUGGGGAAUAUUGGACAAUGGGCGGAAGCCUGAUCCAGCCAUGCCGCGUGUGUGAAGAAGGCCUUUUGGUUGUAAAGCACUUUAAGCGAGGAGGAGGCUACCUGGAUUAAUACUCUAGGAUAGUGGACGUUACUCGCAGAAUAAGCACCGGCUAACUCCGUGCCAGCCGCCGCGGUAA
rnacentral:rRNA from 1 species